rnacentral:rRNA from 1 species
AUACGGAGGGUGCGAGCGUUACUCGGAGUCACUGGGCGUAAAGCGUCCGUAGGCGGUCGGGUAAGUCGGGUGUGAAAGCUCCGGGCUCAACCUGGGAAGUGCACCCGAUACUGCUCGACUCGAGUGCGGGAGAGGAUGGCGGAAUUCCCGGUGUAGCGGUGAAAUGCGUAGAGAUCGGGAGGAACACCAGUGGCGAGGGCGGCCAUCUGGCCCGCAACUGACGCUGAGGGACGAAAGCGUGGGGAGCAAACAGGAUUAGAAACCCUAGUAGUCC